CUAGACUCACUGUGGAGGAAAGGAGAGAAUUCUCAGCCUGAAGAGCAGCCAAAUUGGAGCGUCGGAGAGACACUGGAUCUACCUUCUUGUGCUGGAGUUGCCCACUCGUCUUCACAGGCCGAAAAAGAACCAGGGGUUUCAUAGCUGCCCAGGCUGAAUGGAGCGGCACAAUCACAGCUUACUGCAACCUUGACCUUCUGGCCUCAAGUGAUCCUCCCACCUGAGCCUCCUGAAUAGCUAGGACUGCAGCGUGGAACGACCUUCCCUGACCUCAUUUUCAUGUCGGAGCGAGCACACCCGGAGCCGGCUACGCACAUUCCGGAGGAGACGCACGCUGACAAGCACUCACAUAUACACACACACACACACACACACACACGCACACGAGACGCGGACUGCAGGGCUCUGCCCAUCCGUGAGUUCACACCAGCCCCGCCACUAUUGUGGGCACUGCCGGGGCUGUGGCCGCUCAAAGAAUAGAUCCUCAUUAGCAUCUUGCUUUGAAUAUCAUUUGCAUUUUAUUCAUUUCAUGUCAAAACGCUCAGCACUCUCCCCAGCCCGCACCUUCCCCAGAGCUUGGGAGUCAUGAGCUUCCAGCUCAAACCCCUUCUCUGAAGGCCCCACGCUUGCUGGCUGCCCCCGCCCCACCCACCCUGCGUCACAGCCCCCACA